UGCUUAACACCUGCAAGUCGAGCGGUAAGGCCCUUCGGGGUACACGAGCGGCGAACGGGUGAGUAACACGUGGGUGAUCUGCCUCGCACUUCGGGAUAAGCCUGGGAAACUGGGUCUAAUACCGGAUAUGACCAGGGACUGCAUGGUUUUUGGUGGAAAGAUUUAUCGGUGCGAGAUGGGCCCGCGGCCUAUCAGCUUGUUGGUGGGGUAAUGGCCUACCAAGGCGACGACGGGUAGCCGGCCUGAGAGGGCGACCGGCCACACUGGGACUGAGACACGGCCCAGACUCCUACGGGAGGCAGCAGUGGGGAAUAUUGCACAAUGGGCGAAAGCCUGAUGCAGCGACGCCGCGUGAGGGAUGACGGCCUUCGGGUUGUAAACCUCUUUCGACAGGGACGAAGCGCAAGUGACGGUACCUGUAGAAGAAGCACCGGCCAACUACGUGCCAGCAGCCGCGGUAAUACGUAGGGUGCGAGCGUUGUCCGGAAUUACUGGGCGUAAAGAGCUUGUAGGCGGUUUGUCGCGUCGUCUGUGAAAACUCACAGCUCAACUGUGAGCUUGCAGGCGAUACGGGCAGACUUGAGUACUGCAGGGGAGACUGGAAUUCCUGGUGUAGCGGUGAAAUGCGCAGAUAUCAGGAGGAACACCGGUGGCGAAGGCGGGUCUCUGGGCAGUAACUGACGCUGAGAAGCGAAAGCGUGGGUAGCGAACAGGAUUAGAUACCCUGGUAGUCCACGCCGUAAACGGUGGGCGCUAGGUGUGGGUUUCCUUCCACGGGAUCCGUGCCGUAGCUAACGCAUUAAGCGCCCCGCCUGGGGAGUACGGCCGCAAGGCUAAAACUCAAAGGAAUUGACGGGGGCCCGCACAAGCGGCGGAGCAUGUGGAUUAAUUCGAUGCAACGCGAAGAACCUUACCUGGGUUUGACAUACACCGGAAACCUGCAGAGAUGUAGGCCCCCUUGUGGUCGGUGUACAGGUGGUGCAUGGCUGUCGUCAGCUCGUGUCGUGAGAUGUUGGGUUAAGUCCCGCAACGAGCGCAACCCUUGUCCUGUGUUGCCAGCACGUAAUGGUGGGGACUCGCAGGAGACUGCCGGGGUCAACUCGGAGGAAGGUGGGGACGACGUCAAGUCAUCAUGCCCCUUAUGUCCAGGGCUUCACACAUGCUACAAUGGCCGGUACAGAGGGCUGCGAUACCGUGAGGUGGAGCGAAUCCCUUAAAGCCGGUCUCAGUUCGGAUCGGGGGUCUGCAACUCGACCCCGUGAAGUUGGAGUCGCUAGUAAUCGCAGAUCAGCAACGCUGCGGUGAAUACGUUCCCGGGGCCUUGUACACACCGCCCCGUCACGUCAUGAAAAGUCGGGUAACACCCCGAAGCCGGUUGGCCUAACCCCCUUGUG
rnacentral:rRNA from 1 species